AGGAUGAACGCUGGCGGCGUGCCUAAUACAUGCAAGUCGAGCGAACAGAUAAGGAGCUUGCUCCUUUGACGUUAGCGGCGGACGGGUGAGUAACACGUGGAUAACCUACCUAUAAGACUGGGAUAACUUCGGGAAACCGGAGCUAAUACCGGAUAACAUAUUGAACCGCAUGGUUCAAUAGUGAAAGGCGGCUUUGCUGUCACUUAUAGAUGGAUCCGCGCCGUAUUAGCUAGUUGGUAAGGUAACGGCUUACCAAGGCAACGAUACGUAGCCGACCUGAGAGGGUGAUCGGCCACACUGGAACUGAGACACGGUCCAGACUCCUACGGGAGGCAGCAGUAGGGAAUCUUCCGCAAUGGGCGAAAGCCUGACGGAGCAACGCCGCGUGAGUGAUGAAGGUCUUCGGAUCGUAAAACUCUGUUAUCAGGGAAGAACAAAUGUGUAAGUAACUGUGCACAUCUUGACGGUACCUGAUCAGAAAGCCACGGCUAACUACGUGCCAGCAGCCGCGGUAAUACGUAGGUGGCAAGCGUUAUCCGGAAUUAUUGGGCGUAAAGCGCGCGUAGGCGGUUUUUUAAGUCUGAUGUGAAAGCCCACGGYUCAACCGUGGAGGGUCAUUGGAAACUGGAAAACUUGAGUGCAGAAGAGGAAAGUGGAAUUCCAUGUGUAGCGGUGAAAUGCGCAGAGAUAUGGAGGAACACCAGUGGCGAAGGCGACUUUCUGGUCUGUAACUGACGCUGAUGUGCGAAAGCGUGGGGAUCAAACAGGAUUAGAUACCCUGGUAGUCCACGCCGUAAACGAUGAGUGCUAAGUGUUAGGGGGUUUCCGCCCCUUAGUGCUGCAGCUAACGCAUUAAGCACUCCGCCUGGGGAGUACGACCGCAAGGUUGAAACUCAAAGGAAUUGACGGGGACCCGCACAAGCGGUGGAGCAUGUGGUUUAAUUCGAAGCAACGCGAAGAACCUUACCAAAUCUUGACAUCCUUUGACCGCUCUAGAGAUAGAGUCUUCCCCUUCGGGGGACAAAGUGACAGGUGGUGCAUGGUUGUCGUCAGCUCGUGUCGUGAGAUGUUGGGUUAAGUCCCGCAAC
rnacentral:rRNA from 1 species